GACGAACGCUGGCGGCGUGCUUAACACAUGCCAGUCGAACGGAAAGGCCCUGCUUUUGUGGGGUGCUCGAGUGGCGAACGGGUGAGUAACACGUGAGUAACCUGCCCUUGACUUUGGGAUAACUUCAGGAAACUGGGGCUAAUACCGGAUAGGAGCUCCUGCUGCAUGGUGGGGGUUGGAAAGUUUCGGCGGUUGGGGAUGGACUCGCGGCUUAUCAGCUUGUUGGUGGGGUAGUGGCUUACCAAGGCUUUGACGGGUAGCCGGCCUGAGAGGGUGACCGGCCACAUUGGGACUGAGAUACGGCCCAGACUCCUACGGGAGGCAGCAGUGGGGAAUAUUGCACAAUGGGCGGAAGCCUGAUGCAGCAACGCCGCGUGCGGGAUGACGGCCUUCGGGUUGUAAGCCGCUUUCGCCUGUGACGAAGCGUGAGUGACGGUAAUGGGUAAAGAAGCACCGGCUAACUACGUG
rnacentral:rRNA from 1 species